rnacentral:rRNA from 1 species
UGAAUUGACGGACCCCGCACAAGCGGUGGAUCAUGUUGUUUAAUCGAUGAUACGCGAAGACCUUACCAGGUCUUGACAUCCCCCGCGAUGCUUUAGAGAUAAAGCGGAGGUAUUCGGGGAGACAGGUGGUGCAUGGUUGUCGUCAGCUCGUGUCGUGAGAUGUUGGGUUAAGUCCCGCAACGAGCGCAACCCCUAUUGCUAGUUACCAUCAUUAAGUUGGGGACUCUAGCGAGACUGCCAGUGAUAAACUGGAGGAAGGUGGGGAUGACGUCAAAUCAUCAUGCCCCUUAUGACCUGGGCUACAAACGUGAUACAAUGGCUGGAACAAAGGGAUGCGAAGCAGUGAUGUGGAGCGAAACCCAUAAAAACAGUCUCAGUUCGGAUUGAAGUCUGCAACUCGACUUCAUGAAGUCGGAAUCGCUAGUAAUCGUGGAUCCAGCAUGCCACGGUGAAUACGUUCCCGGCCUU